GUUGUGUUUGUACAGUGUUAAUAAAGUUGUGUGUUUGUACAGUGUUAAUAAAGUUGUGUGUUUGUACAGUGUUAAUAAAGUUGUGUUUGUACAGUGUUAAUAAAGUUGUGUGUUUGUACAGUGUUAAUAAAGUUGUGUGUCUGUACAGUGUUAAUAAAGUUGUGUUUGUACAGUGUUAAUAAAGUUUUGUGUUUGUACAGUGUUAAUAAAGUUGUGUUUGUACAGUGUUAAUAAAGUUGUGUUUGUACAGUGUUAAUAAAGUUGUGUGUUUGUACAGUGUUAAUAAAGUUUUGUGUUUGUACAGUGUUAAUAAAGUUGUGUGUCUGUACAGUGUUAAUAAAGUUGUGUUUGUACAGUGUUAAUAAAGUUGUGUGUCUGUACAGUGAUAAUAAAGUUGUGUUUUGUACAGUGUUAAUAAAGUUGUGUUUGUACAGUGUUAAUAAAGUUGUGUGUUUGUACAGUGUUAAUAAAGUUGUGUGUUUGUACAGUGUUAAUAAAGUUGUGUUUGUACAGUGAUAAUAAAGUUGUGUUUGUACAGUGUUAAUAAAGUUGUGUUUGUACAGUGUUAAUAAAGUUGUGUGUUUGUACAGUGUUAAUAAAGUUGUGUGUUUGUACAGUGUUAAUAAAGUUGUGUGUUUGUACAGUGUUAAUAAAGUUGUGUGUUUGUACAGUAUUAAUAAAGUUGUGUGUUUGUACAGUGUUAAUAAAGUUGUGCGUUUGUACAGUGUUA